UUAUACAACCUCAACUCAUAUGGGACUACCCCCUGAAUUUAAGCAUAUUAAUUAGGGGAGGAAAAGAAACUAACAAGGAUUUUCUUAGUAGCGGCGAGCGAAAAGAAAUCAGUUCAGCAUAAGUCACUUUGUCUAUAUGGCAAAUGUGAGAUGCAGUGUAUGGAACAUCAAUAUUUUAGUAUGAGAAAUUAACGAUUUAAGUCCUUUUUAAAUGAGSCCAUUUACCCAUAGAGGGUGCCAGGCCCGUAUAACGUUAAUGAUUACUAGAUGGUGUUUCCCAAAGAGUCGUGUUGCUUGAUAGAGCAGCACUUAAGUGGGUGGUAAACUCCAUCUAAAACUAAAUAUAACCAUGAGACCGAUAGUAAACAAGUACCGUGAGGGAAAGUUGAAAAGAACUCUGAAUAGAGAGUUAAAUAGUACGUGAAACUGCUUAGAGGUUAAGCCCGAUGAACCUGAAUAUCCAUUAUGGAAAAUUCAUCAUUAGAGUUGUAAUAUUUAAACAAUAUUAUAAUAAUAGUGUGCAUUUUUUCCAUAUAAGGACAUUGUAAUCUAUUAGUAUCAAAAAUUUAUCAAAAAAUUUAAGACAAUUGCUUAUUUAAAUUAAAAUGCUUGCAUUUUAACAUAAAAUAAAUGUCAUAAAUUUGAUAAAGUGCUGAUAGAUUUAUAUGAAUACAGUGCGUUAAUUUUUCGGAAUUAUAUAAUGGCAUGAUUAUCAUUGAUUUUUAUGUUUAUUAUAUGCACUUGUAUGAUUAACAAUGCGAAAGAUUCAGGAUACCUUCGGGACCCGUCUUGAAACACGGACCAAGGAGUCUAACAUAUGUGCAAGUUAUUGGGAUAAAAACCUAAUAGCGUAAUUAACUUGACUAAUAAUGGGAUUAGUUUUUUAACUAUUUAUAGUUAAUUAACACAAUCCCGGGGCGUUCUAUAUAGUUAUGUAUAAUGAUAUUUAUAUUAUUUAUGCCUCUAACUGGAACGUACCUUGAGCAUAUAUGCUGUGACCCGAAAGAUGGUGAACU
rnacentral:rRNA from 1 species